rnacentral:rRNA from 1 species
UACGGGGGGGGCAAGCGUUGUCCGGAAUUAUUGGGCGUAAAGAGCUCGUAGGCGGUUUGGUAAGUCGGGUGUGAAAUCUCCACGCUCAACGUGGAGGGGCCACUCGAUACUGCCAUGACUCGAGUCCGGUAGAGGAGUGUGGAAUUCCCGGUGUAGCGGUGAAAUGCGCAGAUAUCGGGAGGAACACCCGUAGCGAAGGCGGCACUCUGGGCCGGAACUGACGCUGAGGCGCGGAAAGCGUGGGGGAGCAAAC